GCCUCUGUGGUGGAAUAGGUAGACACACAAGACUUAAAAUCUUGAGAACGAAAGUUCGUGCGAGUUCGACUCUCGCUGGAGGCAC
rnacentral:tRNA from 3 species